rnacentral:rRNA from 1 species
AUUGAACGCUGGCGGCAGGCCUAACACAUGCAAGUCGAGCGGAUGAAGGGAGCUUGCUCCUGGAUUCAGCGGCGGACGGGUGAGUAAUGCCUAGGAAUCUGCCUGGUAGUGGGGGAUAACGUCCGGGAACGGGCGCUAAUACCGCAUACGUCCUGAGGGAGAAAGUGGGGGAUCUUCGGACCUCACGCUAUCAGAUGAGCCUAGGUCGGAUUAGCUAGUUGAUGGGGUAAAGGCCUACCAAGGCGACGAUCCGUAACUGGUCUGAGAGGAUGAUCAGUCACACUGGAACUGAGACACGGUCCAGACUCCUACGGGAGGCAGCAGUGGGGAAUAUUGGACAAUGGGCGAAAGCCUGAUCCAGCCAUGCCGCGUGUGUGAAGAAGGUCUUCGGAUUGUAAAGCACUUUAAGUUGGGAGGAAGGGCAGUAAGUUAAUACCUUGCUGUUUUGACGUUACCAACAGAAUAAGCACCGGCUAACUUCGUG